UUCCUACGGGAGGCAGCAGUGGGGAAUAUUGCACAAUGGGGGAAACCCUGAUGCAGCGACGCCGCGUGAGCGAAGAAGUAUUUCGGUAUGUAAAGCUCUAUCAGCAGGGAAGAAAAAUGACGGUACCUGAGUAAGGAGCCCCGGCUAACUACGUGCCAGCAGCCGCGGUAAUACGUAGGGGGCAAGCGUUAUCCGGAAUUACUGGGUGUAAAGGGAGCGUAGACGGCAAUGCAAGUCCGGAGUGGAAUGCGGCAGCUCAACUGCCGAACUGCUCUGGAAACUGUAUGGCUGGAGUUCAGGGGAGG
rnacentral:rRNA from 1 species